rnacentral:rRNA from 1 species
CUACGGGCUGCACCAGUGGGGAAUAUUGCACAAUGGGCGCAAGCCUGAUGCAGCCAUGCCGCGUGUAUGAAGAAGGCCUUCGGGUUGUAAAGUACUUUCAGCGGGGAGGAAGGGAGUAAAGUUAAUACCUUUGCUCAUUGACGUUACCCGCAGAAGAAGCACCGGCUAUACUCCGUGCCAGCAGCCGCGGUAAUACGGAGGGUGCAAGCGUUAAUCGGAAUUACUGGGCGUAAAGCGCACGCAGGCGGUUUGUUAAGUCAGAUGUGAAAUCCCCGGGCUCAACCUGGGAACUGCAUCUGAUACUGGCAAGCUUGAGUCUCGUAGAGGGGGGUAGAAUUCCAGGUGUAGCGGUGAAAUGCGUAGAGAUCUGGAGGAAUACCGGUGGCGAAGGCGGCCCCCUGGACGAAGACUGACGCUCAGGUGCGGAAGCGUGGGGAGCAAACAGGAUUAGAUACCCUCGUAGUC